rnacentral:rRNA from 1 species
GAUGAACGCUGGCGGCGUGCCUAAUACAUGCAAGUCGAGCGAACGGACGAGAAGCUUGCUUCUCUGAUGUUAGCGGCGGACAGGUGAGUAACACGUGGAUAACCUACCUAUAAGACUGGGAUAACUUCGGGAAACCGGAGCUAAUACCGGAUAAUAUUUUGAACCGCAUGGUUCAAAAGUGAAAGACGGUCUUGCUGUCACUUAUAGAUGGAUCCGCGCUGCAUUAGCUAGUUGGUAAGGCAACGGCUUACCAAGGCAACGAUGCAUAGCCGACCUGAGAGGGUGAUCGGCCACACUGGAACUGAGACACGGUCCAGACUCCUACGGGAGGCAGCAGUAGGGAAUCUUCCGCAAUGGGCGAAAGCCUGACGGAGCAACGCCGCGUGAGUGAUGAAGGUCUUCGGAUCGUAAAACUCUGUUAUUAGGGAAGAACAUAUGUGUAAGUAACUGUGCACAUCUUGACGGUACCUAAUCAGAAAGCCACGGCUAACUACGUG